rnacentral:rRNA from 1 species
AACGAACGCUGGCGGCAUGCCUAACACAUGCAAGUCGAACGAAGCCUUCGGGCUUAGUGGCGCACGGGUGCGUAACGCGUGGGAAUCUGCCCUUGGGUUCGGAAUAACAGUUAGAAAUGACUGCUAAUACCGGAUGAUGUCUUCGGACCAAAGAUUUAUCGCCCAAGGAUGAGCCCGCGUAGGAUUAGGUAGUUGGUGGGGUAAUGGCCCACCAAGCCGACGAUCCUUAGCUGGUCUGAGAGGAUGAUCAGCCACACUGGGACUGAGACACGGCCCAGACUCCUACGGGAGGCAGCAGUGGGGAAUAUUGGACAAUGGGCGAAAGCCUGAUCCAGCAAUGCCGCGUGAGUGAUGAAGGCCUUAGGGUUGUAAAGCUCUUUUACCAGGGAUGAUAAUGACAGUACCUGGAGAAUAAGCUCCGGCUAACUCCGUGCCAGCCGCCGCGGUAAUAC